CAGGUUACUACAAGAUAUUGAAUAUAGCGCCCCGUGCUAUAUAUAUACAUAGUGCUAUAUAUAUAUAGAGUCGUUAGUAUCUGGUGGAUGUGAGGAGUGAAUUUGAAAGUUUUGGCUGCUUUUCUCUUCUGGGCGCAGGAAACUGAAGCUGGAGGAACCACUGAGAAGGCGAGACCUCCAGUGUCCUAGAGAGGACCCGGAAGUAACCUUGGCCGUUGUAGGCUAGGCUCGCUCUAGGACACGCCUUUAGGGUUAGGUAGUAGUUAAAGUUUAGCUCCCGGUUUUGGAGCUCGGGGUCAGAAGGUGGGACUCUCAGGCUGGAAGGUUGGGGUGACUCAGGAGUGAGAUGGUCCCUGGGUUCCGCGGAAGGAGCAGCUGUGCGGACCCAUUGGAACCCCAGGUCCGGACCCACUUUUCUGCUCUGGCGCUCUUGGACCCCUUGCUGGUCCUCAGCACAGGCUUUCUUUGCUUACGGACGAUUACUUUGGAAAUUGUCAUUUGAUAGCAUGUAAAUAAUUUUAGCAUUUUUUUUCCUAACAGUAAUUUCUUAUGCCAUUUUGUAAGUCAGAAUGUAUCUGACAUUUAAGUUGUUCUGUUUACCAGAGAUUCCUACUUCCUUGCCACAGUGGAUAUAACCUCAAGGAGGACUAUCUCUCAACGGAGAGAGUUUAAUACCUUCUUUGUGGGAGUUAGUUCAACCCAGCAGACCAUGAAGCCAAGCAAAGCUGAAGGUUUGUCCUUCCAAGUUCCAGGGGAGCCUGUGGGAUUUGUGAUCCUGAAAAUGGAGGCAGAUGAACAUAUUUGGAAACAGGAAUCUGACAUUCAAAGGAAGAACCCCACAACAAGGAGCUAUUUUGCCAGUGUUUCAGUUUUGCUAUCAAGAGACACCUGGGCUCCAGCAACUCUGAGCUGGCUCCAGGCUGUGGGAGCUCUACUACCAGUGGCUGAACCUGAAACACACUCAGAUCCUGGAGCUGCUGAUACUGAGCAGUUCCUGGCCAUUCUGCCCAGGAGCUCCAAGCCUGGGUGCAGGAGCAGCAUCCUGAGAGCAGGGAAGAGUUGCUAACUGUGCUGGAGGAUUUAGAGGAAGAAUUGGAUGAACCAGGAGAACAGAUGUCCCACUUUCAUGGAGCAUGAGGUAUGAAAGAGACUGUACUCUGCCACUUAAAAUAUCAUGCCCUUCAACAUGAUAGAGGGCAUUUAUGAACAUCAUCCUUAAUGUUGAAAGACUAAAAAGCUCUCAUCUAAGUUCAGGAAUGAGAUAAGAUACCUGUUUCACCAGUGCUAUUCAACAUUGUACUGAAUGUUCUAGUCAAAGCAAUUAGAGAAGAAAAAUCAAUCAAAUGCAUCCAAAUUGGAAAGGAAGUAAUACUGUCUCUAUUCACAGAUGACAUGAUCUUAUAUAUAGAAAAAUCCCACAGAAUCCACAAGGAAAUUCCCAAAGUAUCUUCUAGAGCUAGUAGAUGAAUUCAGCAAAGUUGCAGAGUACAAGGUCAAUAUACAAAAAUCAGUUGUGUUUCUAUAUAUCGACAAUGAACAAUCCAAAAAGAAAAUUAAGAAAGCAGUUUCAACUAUAAUAGUAUCUAAAA